rnacentral:tRNA from 1 species
GCAGGGGUUGCCAAGUCUGGUCAAAGGCGCAGGACUCAGAAUCCUGUCCGUUAGUCGGUUCCUGGGUUCAAAUCCCAGCCCCUGCA